rnacentral:tRNA from 1 species
GUCUGCCUGUGUGGAUCAAUCGGACCACGCACUGGACUCACAAUCCAGAGGUCGCCGGUUCGAAUCCCGAGGCGGACG